rnacentral:rRNA from 1 species
CCUGGCUCAGAUUGAACGCUGGCGGAAUGCUUUACACAUGCAAGUCGAGCGGCAGCGCGGGGGCAACCCUGGCGGCGAGCGGCGAACGGGUGAGUAAUGCAUCGGAACGUACCCAGUCGUGGGGGAUAACGUGGCGAAAGUCACGCUAAUACCGCAUACGUCCUGAGGGAGAAAAGCAGGGGAUCGCAAGACCUUGCGCGAUUGGAGCGGCCGAUGUCUGAUUAGCUAGUUGGUGGGGUAAAGGCCUACCAAGGCGACGAUCAGUAGCUGGUCUGAGAGGACGAUCAGCCACACUGGGACUGAGACACGGCCCAGACUCCUACGGGAGGCAGCAGUGGGGAAUUUUGGACAAUGGGCGAAAGCCUGAUCCAGCCAUUCCGCGUGAGUGAAGAAGGCCUCGGUGUAAG